UAGACCCGAUAGAGUUUCUUUAAGUGAUUAAUAUACUCGUGCAUCGGAGAGCAAGUAAAUGUCGGAUUUGCGCUUGUUCUCUCUCCGGUCCGGAUUUCAGAGCGAGGGAAUAGAUAGUGCUCUUGUGUCUACGUAAAUGCUUGUGUAAUAUACAGUGGUCGGAAUAGGUAGAGCUAUUUGGGGUGAAUGACCGCAAACAUUGAUAUUAACAUGGACAUGCCUCUGAAAUCCCGGGAUUUUGAAAUUGUCGAUUGAUUUAAGUGAGUUAAUAUGGGUAAGUGGGCAGUUAUGAGCAGGUAGUAGGUGAGCACCCAAACAGUAUAUACUUACUUAUAAACACACACAGGGAGCCUGGAACGUUGUUAGAGGUAGCUUCGUGAAAUAUGAAUUAAUUAACCCUUAAAUUGGCAGUGUACUCCACAAAAGACAUUAACUUUUUUUAAAUCGAAUGUAGUACCAAUCUUUAAAAAAAUUCAAUUUUUUGUUCUUUUUGGCUUGUCAUUAUUGUAUAUUUUGGUAGAAAAAAUAUUUGAAUGUGGUUCCAUUGAAAAAUAGCUGUCAAAUUCAAAAUGUCUUCGAAGCGGUCUGGUGUAUCCGGGUCACGGCAGUGCUUGAACCUGAAACGACCUGAUUUAGCAGAUAUGCUUAUAUCUUUGCACCCCACCCCUUUCAAGACGUCGGCUCUUGAAAGGGGUCCGGUACAUGGUGGAAUUUGGGUAGGUGAAGGAGAAAUAAUUCAGAAACCUACAGCUGAACGGCCGGUGGACAGUGUCAGAAAAUGCUGUCGGACAUUUUCCAGAAAUAGCAGAUAAGCAAUCACGCUGUAGGUUUUGCAAAGAUAGAAGAACUAAAGUUUUUUGCGUGAAAUGCAAUGUGCUCUUGUGUUUUAUGGUAGGAGAAAGUAACAAAAGAAAUUGCUUCCGCUAAUCUCACACGCAAUAAAUGCAUAUUAUGUAGUUUGAUAAGAAUUAUGAUUAAUAAAGUGAAGAUUUUACUAAAA